AUGCAUCUAUCUGACAGGCCUGGAGCCACUACCGUCUGCUGCUGAGGUUUCCACUACAGAUGCAAGAAAAAAGUAUCCUCACACUUUCUGUCUGAUUGUGGCAGCCAAGACUGAGGAAUAAAACA
rnacentral:snoRNA from 1 species